CGUCGAAACUUUUUUUAUCUUAGACGUGUGCACAAGAGGCAACUAAGUAUGCCAAGAAGCUGAAGGCCAUAUACGACGCGAACCCGAGAGUUCUCAGGCUCAAGCACUCCUCACGGGCCGAGCGUACCUGGGCUGUGGACGGGAAGAACGUCGUGCACGGAGAGAACCUGUUCUGGACCUUUUCGUCCGCGCCGUCGUGUUCUGGGGUUAGCAAGUACACGAACGCCGUUGAGGCCUGGUAUGACGAGCUGAAGUACUACAAAUCCUGGCGGAAUUACAACCGGCGGCCUGUUACUUCCAGAGGCAUUAGGAAGUACGGCCACUUCACUCAGCUGGUGUGGAAAGCUUCUGUCGGCGUUGGCUGUGGCAGGUCCGGUAACACAGGGAACCACAUCCUCGUCUGCAUGUACGAAACGGCCGGCAACCGGCUCAGAACGAGUGCGUUCAACAAAAAUGUCAAAAUUUAGACGACACGUCACAUCCGGCCUGACGUCACAUCCGACCUGACGUCACAUCCCGCCCGACCACGAUUACGACCAUGAUCUGAAUGUAUAACUUGUAAUACUAAUAACAAAUAUAUACGGAGAAGUAAACCUCCUUCCUUAUAGCUCUAUCUCCGAAGCUAAUUAAUGUCUUCCAGGUUACAAAAAUAAGUUUUACUUUGUUGUCUAUGUAAUACUCUGACGUAUCUUAUUCAAAUUUUUUAGCUGUCGUAAUGUGUUUUGACAAAACGCUAAAACACCUUUUAUUAUCCGCGGGAUAACCUAUAUCAAUUGUUUUGAAAAACAGGGUACUUACGAAAAUCUAGUCUACGGAUGACGGUUUCAAACAACAACAUUUUGAAAAUAUUGCAAUUGAACCCACCGCCCGUAGAUUUGAUAUCCCUAGAUACCUAGGUUUCCUUUGAAAUAACGGAUUUACAUGUAGGUUACCCCGUGGAUAAAGGUGAACUAUCCUUACAUGCUUAAGGUUGCCAUAUCGCAAAUAAUUUGUUAUCUGUUAACAUUUAGAUAUUUUCUCUCCGCCAUUCAAAAUGUUUCUAAUGUAAUCUCGCUCUUUUGCAUAUGCCUGAAGUGAUACAAAAUUUGCAUUAAGAAUUGCUUCUUUCUUAAAAUCUACGACAUUAUAUUGUAUUAUCUUAGAAUAACUGUAAUAGCCAAGACAUGAAAUAAAUUGUGAAAUCGCA